CAGAAAAGCACCGAGGAAGAUAGAUCUGCAGCUAUCUCACUUGCAAACAAGAUGGUUGAAGCUUUGAAGUAUCAAGCUGUUCAGUCACGCUUCUACGAAGGGAAGGAGCCCAUUCAGUUUUUUUCGAUUUUUCAGAGUUUUAUUGUGUUUAAGGGUGGCAUUAGCUCUGGAUAUAAGAAUUUUGUUUCAGCGAACUCCAUCACCGACGAAACUUACACAGAAGACGGCGUAGCUCUUUUCCGAGUUCAAGGGUCUGGACCUGAUAACAUGCAAGCAAUUCAAGUUGAACCGGUGGCAUCAUCUUUGAACUCUUCUUAUUGUUACAUACUACAUGGCGGAAGUACUGUUUUUACCUGGUCUGGAAGCCUCACCACCUCGGAUGACCAAGAACUUCUAGAGAGACAAUUAGAUGUGAUAAAGCCAAGCGCGCAGUCCAAAUCACAAAAAGAAGGAACAGAAACUGAACAAUUUUGGGCAUUAUUGGGGGGUAAGGGUGAAUACCCCAGUCAGAAGAUUGGGAAAGAACCAGAAAAUGAUCCUCACCUAUUCUCCUGUACUUUCUCAAAAGGAAUUCUAAAGGUGACAGAAAUAUACAACUUCACCCAAGACGAUCUUAUGACAG
rnacentral:misc_RNA from 1 species